rnacentral:rRNA from 1 species
AGGCCACUGCUAUCGGAGUUCGAUUAAGCCAUGCGAGUUGAGAGGUGCAAGACCUCGGCAUACUGCUCAGUAACACGUGGACAACCUACCCUAAGGAGGGGGAUAACCCCGGGAAACUGGGGAUAAUACCCCAUAGACUAUGGAUGCUGGAAUUCCUUGUAGUCGAAAGGUCCGCCGCCUUAGGAUGGGUCUGCGGCCGAUUAGGUUGUUGUUGGGGUAACGGCCCAACAAGCCUGUAAUCGGUGCGGGUUGUGGGAGCAAGAGCCCGGAGAUGGAUUCUGAGACACUAAUCCAGGCCCUACGGGGCGCAGCAGGCGCGAAAACUUUACAAUGCGGGAAACCGUGAUAAGGGAACUCCGAGUGCCCGUUAAAUCGGGCUGUCCACCAGUUUAAAUAACUGGUGAAGAAAGGGCCGGGCAAGACCGGUGCCAGCCGCCGCGGUAAUACCGGCGGCUCGAGUGGUGGCCACUAUUACUGGGCUUAAAGCGUUCGUAGCUGGUUUGUUAAGUCUCUGGGGAAAUCUACCGGCUUAACCGGUAGGCGUCUCAGGGAUACUGGCAGACUAGGGACCGGGAGAGGUGAGGGGUACUCCAGGGGUAGGAGUGAAAUCCUGUAAUCCUUGGGGGACCACCUGUGGCGAAGGCGCCUCACCAGAGCGGCUCCGACAGUGAGGGACGAAAGCUGGGGGAGCAAACCGGAUUAGAUACCCGGGUAGUCCCAGCUGUAAACGAUGCGCGUUAGGUGUAUCGGUGACCACGAGUCACCGAGGUGCCGAAGAGAAAUCGUGAAACGUGCCGCCUGGGAAGUACGGUCGCAAGGCUGAAACUUAA